rnacentral:rRNA from 1 species
UACGUAGGGUGCAAGCGUUAAUCGGAAUUACUGGGCGUAAAGCGUGCGCAGGCGGUUAUGUAAGACAGGUGUGAAAUCUCAGGGCUUAACCUUGGAACUGCAUUUGUGACUGCAUAGCUAGAGUACGGUAGAGGGGGAUGGAAUUCCGCGUGUAGCAGUGAAAUGCGUAGAUAUGCGGAGGAACACCGAUGGCGAAGGCAAUCCCCUGGACCUGUACUGACGCUCAUGCACGAAAGCGUGGGGAGCAAACAGG